CUGUACCUCUUCCUAGAGAUGCUGCCUGGCCUGUUGCAUUCACCAGCAACUUUGAUGUGUGUUGCUGUGUUUUGAUUACGUGGUUGUUUUUUUCCCCAUACCUACCUAUGUUUUAAACCUAACCAACGACUUGGUCUUUUUAGUACCCCAGCUUGGAUGGAACUCCCAGGAUGUUACCAGGGUGUCAGACAACCUGUGUCAGUCAUUAUUAGGUGUACUGAAGAAGAAGAAGAAAAUGGAGUCAUCGGGACGCCGGCUCGACGCUCAACCCAGCACAGAUGGAAAGCGUGCAAGGGAGCCGGCUGGAUUCGAACUCAGGAGCCUUCACUCCGAAGUCCGGCACUGAUGCCACUACGCCACCAGCCGGCAUUAGGUAAUUGAAUAGCUAAUGGGAGGAGAAGACUCCAAGAACAUCCUGAUAUUCUGACAUUCCAUUCACUUGGGCUUCAUCAUGACGUUACAGAGAUCGUCGUUUGUGCCAGAUGGCUAAACGAUGGCAGUGGGACAGCUCUGCAGCCUUGCUGUAUGUAGGCAGUCUCUGUCGUACAACACCAGAUCUUCUUUCCUGGUGAAUUCAAUCAGAUACUUGAACAUUUAAGCAUUAGAUCAAACAAUUUAAUUAGAAAAAUCUCUGUGCAAGC